rnacentral:rRNA from 1 species
UGGCACCUUGAUGUCGGCUCAUCACAUCCUGGGGCUGUAGCCGGUCCCAAGGGUUUGGCUGUUCGCCAAUUAAAGUGGUACGUGAGCUGGGUUUAGAACGUCGUGAGACAGUUCGGUCCCUAUCUGCCGUGGGCGUCGGAAGUUUGAGAAGAGCUGCUCCUAGUACGAGAGGACCGGAGUGGACGAACCUCUGGUGUUCGGGUUGUCAUGCCAAUGGCAUUGCCCGGUAGCUACGUUCGGAACUGAUAAGCGCUGAAAGCAUCUAAGCGCGAAGCAGGCCUCGAGAUGAGUUCUCACUAGACUUUUAAAGUCUCUGAAGGGCCGUUGAAGACUACAACGUUGAUAGGCAAGAUGUGGAAGUGGUGUGAGCCAUUAAGCUAACUUGUACUAAUUACCCGUGAGA